CCUACGGGUGGCAGCAGUGAGGAAUAUUGGUCAAUGGGCGCGAGCCUGAACCAGCCAAGUAGCGUGAAGGAUGAAUGUCCUACGGGUUGUAAACUUCUUUUAUAAAGGAAUAAAGUUAGGCACGUCUGCCUUUUUGUAUGUACUUUAUGAAUAAGGAUCGGCUAACUCCGUGCCAGCAGCCGCGGUAAUACGGAGGAUCCGAGCGUUAUCAGGAUUUAUUGGGUUUAAUGGGAGCGUAGUUGGGUUGUAAAGUCAGUUGUGAAAGUUUGCGGCUCAACAGUAAAAUUGCAAUUGAUACUGGCAGACUUGAGUACAGUAGAGGUAGGCGGAAUUCGUGGUGUAGCGGUGAAAUGCUUAGAUAUCACGAAGAACUCCGAUUGCGAAGGCGACCAACUAGACUGCCACUGACAUUGAGGCUCGAAAGUGUGGGUAGCAAACAGGAUUAGAUACCCGGGUAGUC
rnacentral:rRNA from 1 species